GAUGAACGCUGGCGGCGUGCCUAACACAUGCAAGUCGAACGGAGUCCAGCCUUUAAGACCUUCGGGUCAAAGAGGGGAAGACUGAGUGGCGGACGGGUGAGUAACACGUGGGCAACCUGACUCAUAGAGGGGGAUAACAGAGAGAAAUUUCUGCUAAUACCGCAUAAGCACACACUGCCGCAUGGCAGAGGGUGAAAAGAGAAUCGCUAUGAGAUGGACCCGCGUCUGAUUAGCCAGUUGGCAGGGUAAGAGCCUACCAAAGCGACGAUCAGUAGCCGAUCUGAGAGGAUGAACGGCCACAUUGGGACUGAGACACGGCCCAAACUCCUACGGGAGGCAGCAGUGGGGGAUAUUGCACAAUGGGGGGAACCCUGAUGCAGCGACGCCGCGUGAGUGAAGAAGUAUUUCGGUAUGUAAAGCUCUAUCAGCAGGGAAGAUAAUGACAGUACCUGAAUAAGAAGCCCCGGCUAACUACGUG
rnacentral:rRNA from 1 species